CAUCCUUCUGCCAUAAAGUCGUUCUGCACGACCCGGAUGCCGGAUCGCCGGACACCGUCGCCAACUCCGAAUUCAGAACGUGGAAGAAAGUGGCGUCCAGAGGCCCUCGCAGUGCGUCUCACUGACCAUAAGCGCACUGGACUCUGAUGGAAGGAAGAGUGACAUCCAAAUCCCUGAAGUGUGGUCCGUUCCAGCUCUCAACGUGACUGCGACUGUGGUAGCGAGAAGCCAGCUCAAAGGAUGUGAACAUCUUCAAGGACUGGAAUUCCCACAGUACGACGGUGGGCAAGUGGAACUGCUUAUCAGAGCGAACGUCUUGGAGGCGAUCCUGCAAAGAGAGCCGCGUGUGGGACGCCCGAAUCAACCAGUAGCAGUGAAGACCGACGUCGGGUGGGCACUGACAGGAUCGGCUUCGACCAUCGUUCCCAGUAGCUAGAAGUGAAUAUAUCGGUUCGAAGUUCACUUUUAAUUUAGUUCAGCGUCGAAAAAUACCAGUAAAAUCAUGAAAAAUAUUACUUAUGACCCUGAUAAAAUCUGGUCCAAUUGUCUUUCAAUUUGUUUGAUUGCUAUCCCCGAAAAUGCUACUUGUUUUCAGAAGUUCGGUGUGACAUUCAGUUCAGUUCAAAAUGACUGAAUAUAUAGUUCAUUCAGUUCAGUUUUCCUGCGUCUCACCUUGACUGACAGUUUAUUCAGUUCAGUUCAGAUCACGGCAUGUAAGUGCCUCCGUUCAGUUCUUUCAUUUCAGCUCAUUCAGUUCAGUUCACAACCGUUCUGGCCCUGGUCUCAUUGUAUCUUGCACUAAUAUCAAACAAUAAUUGCACUGUAAUUACGAUUUUUUUCUUUGCAGACUAUGUACUGUCGCCACUUCAACAUGACGUGCAGAUGCAACGCAACCGGCUCCGAUCCGAGGCGAUUGACAAACAGCAGCGCACUGCACUGAUGGCAGUCACCUUCAGCGACCGACGCAAUCACGUCGUCAGGCUGGGAACAACCGUGAAACGGCUGCUGGAUCUCUACCUGCUCUGAAAGAUCCUGAAGAGAUCUGGCUCGAGAUGAGCCGCAUGGAGGGUGCCGUCGAAGCUCCGACAUCGAAGCUGAAGGAAUCCGUGUCCUGUUGCUAGGCUCCGUGUCCUGUUGGACGCCGCCCAGGUGCUGACAGGAUGUCAAGACACGGACACGGUCAAGAUCGAAGCCAUGAUGGAGUAUCUGCUAGUCAACUACAGCGACGUGAUCGUCGACGACUUCAGAACGCCACGCUCGCCCUUCAUUCGGGACGGUGUGGAACGAGGUAGACAGAAUGGCCGGUGUCCCUGUGGGCGUCCGAAUGGCGGAGGUGCGACAUCGCUACAACAAGAUCCUGAAGAAAGCAGCUGACCUCACUGGAUGUUCUGAAGAUCGGGCCGCGGAGGCUCUCGCCAGGCUGUUCCGAUGUGACCUGGAGACUGUCA